GACGAACGCUGGCGGCGUGCUUAACACAUGCAAGUCGAACGGAAAGGCCCUGCUUUUGUGGGGUGCUCGAGUGGCGAACGGGUGAGUAACACGUGAGUAACCUGCCCUUGACUUUGGGAUAACUUCAGGAAACUGGGGCUAAUACCGGAUAGGAGCUCCUGCUGCAUGGUGGGGGUUGGAAAGUUUCGGCGGUUGGGGAUGGACUCGCGGCUUAUCAGCUUGUUGGUGGGGUAGUGGCUUACCAAGGCUUUGACGGGUAGCCGGCCUGAGAGGGUGACCGGCCACAUUGGGACUGAGAUACGACCCAGACUCAUACGGGAGGCAGCAGUGGGGAAUAGUGCAAAAUGGGCGGAAGCAUGAUGCAGCAACGCCGCGUGCGGGAUGACGGCCUUAGGGGUGUAAACAGCGUUCGCCUGUGAAGAAGAGUGAGUGACGGUAAUGGGUAAAGAAGCACCGGCUAACUACGUG
rnacentral:rRNA from 1 species